AGAGUUUGAUCAUGGCUCAGAUUGAACGCUGGCGGCAGGCCUAACACAUGCAAGUCGAACGGUAACAGGAAGCAGCUUGCUGCUUCGCUGACGAGUGGCGGACGGGUGAGUAAUGUCUGGGAAACUGCCUGAUGGAGGGGGAUAACUACUGGAAACGGUGGCUAAUACCGCAUAACGUCGCAAGACCAAAGAGGGGGACCUUCGGGCCUCUUGCCAUCAGAUGUGCCCAGAUGGGAUUAGCUAGUUGGUGAGGUAACGGCUCACCAAGGCGACGAUCCCUAGCUGGUCUGAGAGGAUGACCAGCCACACUGGAACUGAGACACGGUCCAGACUCCUACGGGAGGCAGCAGUGGGGAAUAUUGCACAAUGGGCGCAAGCCUGAUGCAGCCAUGCCGCGUGUAUGAAGAAGGCCUUCGGGUUGUAAAGUACUUUCAGCGGGGAGGAAGGUGUUGUGGUUAAUAACCGCAGCAAUUGACGUUACCCGCAGAAGAAGCACCGGCUAACUCCGUGCCAGCAGCCGCGGUAAUACGGAGGGUGCAAGCGUUAAUCGGAAUUACUGGGCGUAAAGCGCACGCAGGCGGUCUGUCAAGUCGGAUGUGAAAUCCCCGGGCUCAACCUGGGAACUGCAUUCGAAACUGGCAGGCUUGAGUCUUGUAGAGGGGGGUAGAAUUCCAGGUGUAGCGGUGAAAUGCGUAGAGAUCUGGAGGAAUACCGGUGGCGAAGGCGGCCCCCUGGACAAAGACUGACGCUCAGGUGCGAAAGCGUGGGGAGCAAACAGGAUUAGAUACCCUGGUAGUCCACGCCGUAAACGAUGUCUACUUGGAGGUUGUGCCCUUGAGGCGUGGCUUCCGGAGCUAACGCGUUAAGUAGACCGCCUGGGGAGUACGGCCGCAAGGUUAAAACUCAAAUGAAUUGACGGGGGCCCGCACAAGCGGUGGAGCAUGUGGUUUAAUUCGAUGCAACGCGAAGAACCUUACCUGGUCUUGACAUCCACAGAACUUUCCAGAGAUGGACUGGUGCCUUCGGGAACCGUGAGACAGGUGCUGCAUGGCUGUCGUCAGCUCGUGUUGUGAAAUGUUGGGUUAAGUCCCGCAACGAGCGCAACCCUUAUCCUUUGUUGCCAGCGGUUAGGCCGGGAACUCAAAGGAGACUGCCAGUGAUAAACUGGAGGAAGGUGGGGAUGACGUCAAGUCAUCAUGGCCCUUACGACCAGGGCUACACACGUGCUACAAUGGCGCAUACAAAGAGAAGCGACCUCGCGAGAGCAAGCGGACCUCAUAAAGUGCGUCGUAGUCCGGAUUGGAGUCUGCAACUCGACUCCAUGAAGUCGGAAUCGCUAGUAAUCGUGGAUCAGAAUGCCACGGUGAAUACGUUCCCGGGCCUUGUACACACCGCCCGUCACACCAUGGGAGUGGGUUGCAAAAGAAGUAGGUAGCUUAACCUUCGGGAGGGCGCUUACCACUUUGUGAUUCAUGACUGGGGUGAAGUCGUAACAAGGUAACCGUAGGGGAACCUGCGGUUG
rnacentral:rRNA from 1 species